rnacentral:rRNA from 1 species
GAUGAACGCUGGCGGCGUGCCUAAUGCAUGCAAGUCGAGCGAACAGACGAGGAGCUUGCUCCUCUGACGUUAGCGGCGGACGGGUGAGUAGCACGUGGAUAACCUACCUAUAAGACUGGGAUAACUUCAGGAAACCGGAGCUAAUACCGGAUAAUAUAUUGAACCGCAUGGUUCAAUAGUGAAAGACGGUUUUGCUGUCACUUAUAGAUGGAUCCGCGCCGCAUUAGCUAGUUGGUAAGGUAACGGCUUACCAAGGCAACGAUGCGUAGCCGACCUGAGAGGGUGAUCGGCCACACUGGAACUGAGACACGGUCCAGACUCCUACGGGAGGCAGCAGUAGGGAAUCUUCCGCAAUGGGCGAAAGCCUGACGGAGCAACGCCGCGUGAGUGAUGAAGGUCUUCGGAUCGUAAAACUCUGUUAUUAGGGAAGAACAAAUGUGUAAGUAACUAUGCACGUCUUGACGGUACCUAAUCAGAAAGCCACGGCUAACUACGUG